rnacentral:rRNA from 1 species
UACGAAGGGGGCUAGCGUUGUUCGGAAUUACUGGGCGUAAAGCGCACGUAGGCGGUUUGUCGCGUCGGGAGUGAAAACCCAGGGCUUAACUCUGGGCUUGCUUUCGAUACGGGCAGACUAGAGGUAUGCAGGGGAGAACGGAAUUCCUGGUGUAGCGGUGGAAUGCGCAGAUAUCAGGAGGAACACCAAUGGCGAAGGCAGAUCUCUGGGCCGUAACUGACGCUGAGGAGCGAAAGCAUGGGGAGCGAACAGG